rnacentral:rRNA from 1 species
AGCGAACGCUGGCGGCAUGCUUAACACAUGCAAGUCGCACGGGCAGGGGCAACUCUGUCAGUGGCGGACGGGUGAGUAACGCGUAGGUAUCUAUCCUUGGGUGGGGGACAACCGUGGGAAACUACGGCUAAUACCGCAUGAUGACUGAGGUCCAAAGCCCGCGAGGGUGCCUGGGGAGGAGCCUGCGUACGAUUAGCUUGUUGGUGGGGUAAAGCUUACCAAGGCGAUGAUCGUAGCUGGUCUGAGAGGAUGAUCAGCCACAUUGGGACUGAGACACGGCCCAAACUCCUACGGGAGGCAGCAGUGGGGAAUAUUGGACAAUGGGCGCAAGCCUGAUCCAGCAAUGCCGCGUGUGUGAAGAAGGUCUUCGGAUUGUAAAGCAACUUUCGACGGGGACGAUGAUGACGGUACCCGUAGAAGAAGCCCCGGCUAACUUCGUGCCAGCCGCCGCUGUAAU